rnacentral:rRNA from 1 species
CCUACGGGGGGCAGCAGUAGGGAAUCUUUCACAAUGGGCGAAAGCCUGAUGGAGCAACGCCGCGUGCAGGAUGAAGGCCUUCGGGUUGUAAACUGCUUUUAUAAGCGAGAAAUAUGAUGGUAACUUAUGAAUAAGGAUCGGCUAACUACGUGCCAGCAGCCGCGGUCAUACGUAGGAUCCGAGCAUUAUCCGGAGUGACUGGGUGUAAAGAGUUGCGUAGGUGGCAUAAUAAGUAGCUAGUGAAAUCUGGUGGCUCAACCAUUCAGACUAUUAGCUAAACUGUUAAGCUCGAGACCGUUAGGGGUAACAGGAAUUUCUAGUGUAGGAGUGAAAUCCGUAGAUAUUAGAAGGAACACCAAUAGCGUAGGCAGGUUGCUGGGACGGUUCUGACACUAAGGCACGAAAGCGUAGGGAGCAAACGGGAUUAGAUACCCGAGUAGUC